CCCAGUAACGGCGAGUGAAGCGGCAACAGCUCAAAUUUGAAAUCUGGCCUCGGCCCGAGUUGUAAUUUGCAGAGGAAGCUUUAGGCGCGGCACCAACUGAGUCCCCUGGAACGGGGCGCCAUAGAGGGUGAGAGCCCCGUAUAGUUGGACGCCUAGCCUGUGUAAAGCUCCUUCGACGAGUCGAGUAGUUUGGGAAUGCUGCUCAAAAUGGGAGGUAAAUUUCUUCUAAAGCUAAAUACCGGCCAGAGACCGAUAGCGCACAAGUAGAGUGAUCGAAAGAUGAAAAGCACUUUGAAAAGAGGGUUAAAUAGCACGUGAAAUUGUUGAAAGGGAAGCGCUUGUGACCAGACUUGCGCCGGGCCGAUCAUCCGGUGUUCUCACCGGUGCACUCGGCCCGGCUCAGGCCAGCAUCGGUUCUCGUGGGGGGAUAAAGGUCCCGGGAACGUAGCUCCUCCGGGAGUGUUAUAGCCCGGGGCGUAAUGCCCUCGCGGGGACCGAGGUUCGCGCAUCUGCAAGGAUGCUGGCGUAAUGGUCAUCAGCGACCCGUCUUGAAACACGGACCAAGGAGUCAAGGUUUUGCGCGAGUGUUUGGGUGUAAAACCCGCACGCGUAAUGAAAGUGAACGUAGGUGAGAGCUUCGGCGCAUCAUCGACCGAUCCUGAUGUCUUCGGAUGGAUUUGAGUAAGAGCGUUAAGCCUUGGACCCGAAAGAUGGUGAACUAUGCUUGGAUAGGGUGAAGCCAGAGGAAACUCUGGUGGAGGCUCGCAGCGGUUCUGACGUGCAAAUCGAUCGUCAAAUCUGAGCAUGGGGGCGAAAGACUAAUCGAACCAUCUAGUAGCUGGUUACCGCCGAAGUUUCCCUCAGGAUAGCAGUGUUGUUCUUCAGUUUUAUGAGGUAAAGCGAAUGAUUAGGGACUCGGGGGCGCUUUUUAGCCUUCAUCCAUUCUCAAACUUUAAAUAUGUAAGAAGCCCUUGUUACUUAAUUGAACGUGGGCAUUCGAAUGUACCAACACUAGUGGGCCAUUUUUGGUAAGCAGAACUGGCGAUGCGGGAUGAACCGAACGCGGGGUUAAGGUGCCGGAAUGGACGCUCAUCAGACACCACAAAAGGCGUUAGUACAUCUUGACAGCAGGACGGUGGCCAUGGAA
rnacentral:rRNA from 1 species